rnacentral:rRNA from 1 species
GACGAACGCUGGCGGCGUGCUUAACACAUGCAAGUCGAACGGAAAGGCCUCUUUCGGGGGGUACUCGAGUGGCGAACGGGUGAGUAACACGUGAGUAACCUGCCCUUGACUUUGGGAUAACUUCAGGAAACUGGGGCUAAUACCGGAUAGGAGCUCCUGCUGCAUGGUGUGGGUUGGAAAGUUUCGGCGGUUGGGGAUGGACUCGCGGCUUAUCAGCUUGUUGGUGGGGUAGUGGCUUACCAAGGCUUUGACGGGUAGCCGGCCUGAGAGGGUGACCGGCCACAUUGGGACUGAGAUACGGCCCAGACUCCUACGGGAGGCAGCAGUGGGGAAUAUUGCACAAUGGGUGGAAGCCUGAUGCAGCAACGCCGUGUGCGGGAUGACGGCCUUCGGGUUGUAAACCGCUUUCGCUCAUGACGAAGCUUUGUGUGACGGUAGUGGGUAAAGAAGCACCGGCUAACUACGUG